UACAGAGGGGGCAAGCGUUGUUCGGAAUUACUGGGCGUAAAGGGCGCGUAGGCGGCCUGUUAAGUCGAACGUGAAAUCCCCAGGCUCAACCUGGGAACUGCGUCCGAAACUGGCAGGCUUGAAUCCGGGAGAGGGAUGUGGAAUUCCAGGUGUAGCGGUGAAAUGCGUAGAUAUCAGGAGGAACACCUGUGGCGAAAGCGGCUCACUGGACCAUAACUGACGCUGAUGCACGAAAGCUAGGGGAGCAAACAGG
rnacentral:rRNA from 1 species